rnacentral:rRNA from 1 species
GACGAACCGUGCGAACGUUGUUCGGAUUCACUGGGCUUAAAGGGCGCGUAGGCGGACGGUCAAGUCGGGGGUGAAAUCUUUCAGCUUAACUGGAAAAGUGCCUCCGAUACUGAUCGUCUCGAGGGAGGUAGGGGCAUGUGGAACUUCCGGUGGAGCGGUGAAAUGCGUAGAUAUCGGAAGGAACGCCGGUGGCGAAAGCGACGUGCUGGACCAUUACUGACACUGAGGUACGAAAGCUAGGGGAGCAAACAGG